rnacentral:rRNA from 1 species
GACGAACGCUGGCGGCGUGCCUAAUACAUGCAAGUAGAACGCUGAAGCGAGGAGCUUGCUCUUCUUGGAUGAGUUGCGAACGGGUGAGUAACGCGUAGGUAACCUGCCUUGUAGCGGGGGAUAACUAUUGGAAACGAUAGCUAAUACCGCAUAACAAUGGAUGACACAUGUCAUUUAUUUUAAAGGGGCAUUUGCUCCACUACAAGAUGGACCUGCGUUGUAUUAGCUAGUAGGUGAGGUAAUGGCUCACCUAGGCGACGAUACAUAGCCGACCUGAGAGGGUGAUCGGCCACACUGGGACUGAGACACGGCCCAGACUCCUACGGGGGGCAGCAGGAGGGGAUCUUCGGCAAUGGGGGCAACCCUGACCGAGCAACGCCGGGUGAGGGAAGAAGGUUUUCGGAUCGUAAAGCUCUGUUGUAAGUGAAGAACGGGUGUGAGAGUGGAAAGUUCACACUGUGACGGUAGCUUACCAGAAAGGGACGGCUAACUACGUG